ACUUGUCUUUAUAUUUCUGCAAAUCUCUACACAGCAGCACUCUACGUGUCCUUAUGAGUUUUGGUUUAUUAUAGUAUAAAUAAUGGGAUUAUGUAAGGUGAGUUACAGGAGAUUUUAAUGGAGGCUGGGGCUAUUGGACUGCUUGCUCGUCUUCCCUCCCCUGAUGAUCUAAUUAAAAACAUUAAGAAAUAAGGAAUGGGAAAUGACAACCACAUCAGCAAUGUGAAGAGAAAAAAGAUUGUCACUGCAUCCACUCCAGCAGACUUGGAGAUUAAAUGUUGAUAAAUAUUUAUACCAGUUUCCAGUGUUCUAUGACUCUGAUAAGGAGAAAAUAUUUAAGCAGCGUAGGAAAAUUGAAGGACCUGUUUCUGAACUGGUACUCUAUCAUAAGGAAUGGAUUAAGGUCUUUGAAAUGCACAUGGGGAUGGCAUCUACUUGGUGGAUUUGUAAAAAAAGGGCACAUUCUAACACAAGAGGAUACUGAUUUGUACAAACAUUAUAAGAACUUGAGAAAGCAACAUGUUGAAUAGAUUUCCAACGGAGGGAUGAUGCCCAAAGACCAAUACCAGAGCAAUACCAGAGCGAAGGCUUGAAGGAGAUUGUUGAGUUGGUGGAUACAAGGUCUGGUUGUUUAGUGAGCCCAAUUAGAGAUAAUUUCCUGCAAGUUAUUAGUUAUAAUUCCUUUAUAAAGACAAGUAAACUAUAUUGCCAAUUUGCGAUAAUUUCCUCCGGGUUAUUAGUUGUAAUUCUUAUACAAAGACAAGUAAAUUACCAAUACAGUCCAUUGUAUUACACUACAAUGCCGUGUGCACUGCUCUUUGUUAAUCAAUU